CCAACACAAGCUCUUCCUAGACAAGAAUAGUCUUUGGCCAAUGGCCCAAUACUAUGGAGUGACUGAAGUGAACCUGACUGCAGAGCUACAUCAGGUUCGGCGUCUGCUGGAAACAAAACAAAAGCAAGGACAGACAGUGAAUGACACAGUAGAAUUUCUAGCUCUAAUGAGACCUUACCGUGAUGCAGUUAUAGAUUUAUACAAUCUAAUCUGCAUAUCACUGACUCUGCCUGUGACAUCUGCCUGAUGCGAAUGGAGUUUCUUUUGCCUCAGACGCCUCAAAAACUACCUAAGGAAUAGCAGCGGCGAUGCUCGGAACAGCAACUUGGCCCUGUUGGCCAUAAACAGCCGGAGGACCAAAGCACUUGACAUCCUUAAAAUCACUGAUGCUUUCGCCACCAAUCACAACAACAGAUGGAUUGUGCUUCUCUGAAAACAUCAAUGCUUGUGAAACUUGUAUUCAUCUGGGUGCACUUCCUGGUUUUUCUGGACUUCAACCAAUGGCCGGAAAUUGCUAUUGGUGCUUAGGACUUGGGUGGUUUCUCGAGUGAGUUGGAAUUGGGAGACUCCCCUAACAACAGCAACAAUCAUGUGAUGACUACGAAUGAUUCUGGAAUGUUUCUGGAGAACUGGAAAAUUGCAAAUGUCACUACAGUCUUCAAGAAGUGAGGAAGACAGAAGAAGAAAAAAAUAUAGACUACUGCGUGUGGAAAUCCCAGGAUAUCAGCAGUUUCUGAGAUGCUCAAACCACGCCAUCUGGUACCAACAGUCAUUUCACCAUUAAUGUUACUGAGAUCAUAUUGCAAGACCAUCCCAAUGUUUGGUAUGAACAACAAAUGAACCUCUUGACCAUGUCUGCAUGUUCUUAUGCAUUAAGUUGUUGCUACAUUAUUGGCUGAUUAAAUAUUUACAUUAAC